rfam:Schistosoma rodhaini strain Burundi genome assembly, scaffold: SROB_scaffold0013325
AUCCAGCUGACGAGUCUCAAAUAGCACUAAAUAUGCGUCCUGCAU